rnacentral:rRNA from 1 species
UACAGAGACCUCAAGCGUUAUCCGGAAUCAUUGGGCGUAAAGCGUACCGAUCGGUGGUUGAAAUAGUCUUGGGUAAAAGCCGGAAGCUCAACUUCCGCGUUUGCUUAAGAUACUUUUCGACUAGAGGGGCAAAGAGGUGCUUGGAACCAACGGUGUAGUAGUGAAAUGCGUUGAUAUCGUUGGGAACACCGAAAGCGAAGGCAGAGCACUGGGUGCCACCUGACACUGCUAGGACGAAAGCGUGGGGAGCGAAUGGG